AUUGAACGCUGGCGGCAGGCUUAACACAUGCAAGUCGAGCGGGGGAAGGUAGCUUGCUACCGGACCUAGCGGCGGACGGGUGAGUAAUGCUUAGGAAUCUGCCUAUUAGUGGGGGACAACAUCUCGAAAGGGAUGCUAAUACCGCAUACGUCCUACGGGAGAAAGCAGGGGAUCUUCGGACCUUGCGCUAAUAGAUGAGCCUAAGUGGGAUUAGCUAGUUGGUGGGGUAAAGGCCUACCAAGGCGACGAUCUGUAGCGGGUCUGAGAGGAUGAUCCGCCACACUGGGACUGAGACACGGCCCAGACUCCUACGGGAGGAAGCAGUGGGGAAUAUUGGACAAUGGGGGGAACCCUGAUCCAGCCAUGCCGCGUGUGUGAAGAAGGCCUUAUGGUUGUAAAGCACUUUAAGCGAGGAGGAGGCUACUUUAGUUAAUACCUAGAGAUAGUGGACGUUACUCGCAGAAUAAGCACCGGCUAACUCUGUGCCAGCAGCCGCCGUAA
rnacentral:rRNA from 1 species